GUCUUCUCAACACCUUAAAACUGUUUCUGCAGAGGGUCUAUCUGAUACAUCAACAUCAUGAAGUUAACUCCAUGGUAUAAUGCAAGCGACAUGAAAUAUCAACAGAUGAAAAGCAACUCCACCACUUGUUACUUAACCUCUCCGGAAGAGUUACCCUAAGGGUUAAAAUGAGAAAUUAAGAGAAACUGUCGAUCUGUUGCCUGGCAUUCGUGGAGCCAAAUACAAGAAUUAAGUUGAGAGAAGCCUCAAGUUCAGAAUGGACUUUCAUUUAAUGAGGGUAUUUUGAGAAAGAAAUUCCUUGAAGUGAAACUGUGGUAUCUAAGGGUACGUGUUUUCAAAUAUGAUAAAUUCUAAUGCAGUUUUGGAAGCAUCCAAAGAAAAAUGUUUAAUGUGGUUUAAAAG